rnacentral:misc_RNA from 1 species
AACGCAAAUUGCGCCUAUUAGUAUUCUAGUAGGCAUGCCUAUUCGAGCGUUAUAUCACCACUCAGCAGCUAUGUUGAUGUUGAUAAUCAGUUUACUACCCUUCAUGGGGGGGAAAAUUGGUUAUUUAAAGAUAAUGGCCAUGGAAUAUUUUAUUCUUCUACAGAGUAAAACCUAUUGUUCAAGAAUCGAAAUAUCGAUAUGAGCCCUGAAGUUUUAAGAAAGUUGACCUCGAAUUAGGUAGGAAUACCCACUGAACUUAA